rnacentral:rRNA from 1 species
UCCGUAAUGCACCGACGCCGUAUGGUGGAUGACUUGGCUUGGGUGGCGACGAAGGACGCGGCAAGCUGCGAAAAGCCCCGGGGAGGCGCACGCAUCCCUUGAUCCGGGGAUUUCCGAAUGGGGUAAAACCCACCGAGAUUGCCGCAAGGCGUCUCGGUGAUCCGAAAGGAUCGCGAACGCUGGGGAAGGAAACAUCUGAGUACCAGCAGGAAGAGAAAUCAAUUGAGAUCCCGUUACUAGCGGCGAGCGAAAACGGGACAGCCCAAACCGAAUCCCCUGGUGAAAGCUAGGGGAGAUGUAGGGUUCGCCUUCAGCGUGUGCGACCCUGGGACCGAUAGCUGAACUCGGCUGGAAAGCCGGAGAACAGAGUGUGAUACUCACGUAGGUCAAUCGGGACCGAGGUCGUGCU